AGAGCCCUGCUUUAGCUGGCUGAAUCCGGGCCAAAUUGUUAUUCAUAGAGCAGCAUUUGGUCCCCUUCAACCAGCUGUAGUUGGUAUUCUGA
rnacentral:pre_miRNA from 1 species